rnacentral:lncRNA from 1 species
CUCCCUAAGCCACCCCGGAUCAACAUCAUCUGUAUCUGUUAUUGUUAGCUCUAAGGAUGGCCUCAGCUUUUCCCAACUUUGCCCUCUCUGGGGCCAUUGGAUCAGUGUGCCUUGCUGGACGAGGUCACCAGGGAAGUAACUGUCUCCUCAGUUUUUAUUGACAGAGAGCUCUAGGGUCAGAGGACCCAGCAGGUUUACAGAGUCUUAGGGAUAUAGAGUAAAGUCCCUGAGCCCUGACAGUCGCCAAGGAAAAAGGAAGGGCAACUACCGUUCAGUGAGCAAGACGCGGCCCCAGCCUCUGAGCCUCUGCCAGCACUGACUGGAACAUACACGAGGGUAUCUCCUAUGGUCAAAAUACACUCAGAGAAGUGCAGGGUGGGACUGUGUUACAAGGCACCAAAGGGAUUGGGCUGUCUGGCUGUACUUCAGAACGUGAUCUGCAUGGUAGCGUGAUGGAGCACACCUGUAAUCACACACAGCUCUGAGGCAGGAGAAUGGUGAGCAAAGCUAACCUGGACAACCUAGUGAGACCUUGUCUCAAGAGACUCAGGUCCGGUGGCUCAUAUUUGUAAUCCAUCACCGUGGAGGCUGAGGUAGAACUGCAGGUUUGAGGACAGCCAAGGCUACAGAGUGAGACCCUGCAGCAAAAACAAAUAA